GUGACCUAUCCAUGGCCAGGAUGAAGCGGAAGUAAAAUUCCGUGGAGGUCCGAACCACGUUGGUGUUGAAAAACCAUGGGAUGAGCUGUGGAUAGCGGAGAAAUUCCAAUCGAACUCGGAGAUAGCUGGUUCUCCUCGAAAUAGCUUUAGGGCUAGCGUCGGGUAAUUGAGUAGUGGAGGGAGAGCACUGAAUGGGCUAGGGGCUGACAACAGUUACUGAACCCUAUCAAACUCCGAAUGCCAUAUACUUGUACCCCGGCAGUCAGACUACGAAUGAUAAGAUCCGUGGUCAAAAGGGAAACAGCCCAGACCAUCAGCUAAGGUCCCAAAGUGUAAGUUAAGUGGGAAAGGAUGUGGGAUUUCUAAGACAACUAGGAUGUUGGCUUAGAAGCAGCCACUCAUUUAAAGAGUGCGUAAUAGCUCACUAGUCGAGAGAUCCUGCGCCGAAGAUGUAACGGGGCUCAAACUUACCACCGAAGCUAUGGAUGUGUACUAUGUACACGUGGUAGAGGAGCUUUCUGUACAGGUUGAAGUCAUACCGUAAGGAGUGGUGGACAGUACAGAAGUGAGAAUGCUGGCAUAAGUAGCGAAAAACAAGUGAGAAUCUUGUUGACCGAAUAUCUAAGGUUUCCUGGG
rnacentral:rRNA from 1 species